AGGGAAAGGAUUCAGGUUUCUGGUCCUUUCAGUUUUUUUGCCUCAGCAUUAGAUCUUGCUGUCUCUUUAAAUCUCACAUGUAGUUAGGAUUAGGGUCUGUAGCUGUGUAUUAGUUCCAUCUUAACUUUGCUCAUUAAAAAAAAAAGUGGGGCAACCUUUCCUUUCCUAAACUUCUACGGCAAAUCUGCUUUGUGACUUUAUUGGGCAAGACCUAGAAGAUGGUCUAAUUUCCCCCCAGCACAGCUGAAUAUCCUUGUUCUUUCAGCUAUUGGUAUUCUGCAGCAGCUGUCUGAUGGAGAUGGAGAGCUCCAACAAGGAUGGGCCGGAACUCCAGCUGCUGUGAAAAAAGUGUGACUUGUUAGGUCAUUUUAUCACAUCGUAAUGUUUGGAGUCAAGACUGGCAGAUUUCACAUCCACUUUCAACUCCAGCCAGAGACAAACACCGCCCUUGCCGGCUGAGGUAUCCACCUUUGAUCGAUGGCCAGGAAAAAGCAAGCAGACAAGUCCUGGGAGAACAUGGCUGAUCUGCUAAGUAGACCAAGACUUUGGCAUUGGCCUCUCAAUUUUUGGUAUGAGAUGGGCCUGUUUAAGUUUCCUGCUUCUUUUUGAAUGAAUUUUGGUAUUUUAUAUGUUCCUCAAAAAUGAUCUAUUUCACUCAGACUUUGAAAAUAGGAAUACAUAUUUGUACAAAUGAUUCUUUUACAAGAAUUUUAAUUUCUUAUACACAAAUAUCAAGUCAUUAUUAUCAUUAUUUUACACCUGAAACUAAUAUGAUGUUAUAUGUCAAAUACAUCUCAAUAAAUAAAGUUUAAAAAAAAAGAA